GAAGUUCACGGUCCACGUAUUGCUGAAGCCUGGCUUGGAGGAUUUUGAGAUUACUAGCGUGUGAGGUUUUUUUGUAUGCAUAUCUGUCUCUUGACAACUACUGUUUGACUUCUGAGUACAUAGAUACACACCCUGUUCAGACUCUUGUGGAUAUUUCAGCGUGAAAAUAGUGAAGAUAGCUGGUGAUGUGUGAAAUGCUGCCACAGUAUUGAUUUUCCUGCCACACAAACAAGAACAAACUGAAUUACUGCCAUCAUCCGAGCCUUUUAAUAAUUAUGGGAAAAGGCCAAGGUUAAGCUGAAAGGUGAAUUGUAUUUGGAAUGUAAUAUGACAUAUGGAUUUUUUGGAAAGGAUGGAGGUUGAAGAUGGAGAGCUUGUGAACUUUGCCCUGUUACAUAGUAUGCAUUUGUUUGACCAAGAUUAAAAAUCUGCUGUAAUAGGCAGACAUGUCCCCUUCAGAUAAUAUAGUUAUUAUUUAACUGUAGAUAAGGUGGUUGAAAAAAUUGUUACCUAAAAACAAAACAGUCUCAUAGUUAGUGAUUGAUACAUAUCACUGACAAAAUGAUGUAAGUUUACUGAUUUUAAGAUACCAAACAAAACAGUGAGAAAAUAAUAUUUCAUCCUUAGUACUAGAAGCUCUGGCUUGUAGGCUUCUAAAUUUCAAAUUAAAACUGGUUUCCUGCUUUGGAGUUUU
rnacentral:lncRNA from 1 species